UCUCCCACGGACCAAGGGAGCCACUCCCCACGUCAGGGCAGGAGCAGGUGGGGGAGGAGCGGACGGGGGGGGGGUCUACCCCCGGGACCAAGAGAGGCCCCUCCCCAGGGAGUCAGUGCCUCGCAAGUAGGCAGGAGCAGCUAGGAGGGGCGGGCAGGGGUCUCCCACGGCUCUGCCCGCCCCCGAAAGCUGAGGGCCGGCUGUGGGCAGACCCCUUUGCCUGGAGCACCACGGAAAGGGAGCCCUUGAAAAACCCAGACGAAGAGCGCCAAAGGUGAAGCCCAAGAAUGACCUUGGCGCCCGCCCCAAGGGGCCUGGCACCCGGUGCCCCGACCUGCCCCAAACAGUGCCUCUGCCCCCUGGUGACUUGUCAUCAUUCCUGAGUGAUUACUGCCUCCAGCCACUGCUUCCCGUGUAAGCGUGGUGUCCCCCCCUCAGUGAAUGCCAUCACCACCCUGCCCUCUCUUGGUCCUGGCAGAAACUCCAGCGUUAACUCGGAACUUUCUCUUCCUUUGUUCUACUCCUGUCAGUCAAAACGUGUUUGAAUUAGAUUCAUUUUCUCCUUUCCAUGAGGACUUAGUUCAGAGCCUCAUCCAUCCUUCUGUAGACCACUGCUGACUCCAGGCCAGUCUCUCCUCCAAAGGCGCCUCAGCACCUCGUUCCUGUCACUCGGAAUCACAGCUGAGGCCCUCUGCCACGGGGUCAGGCCUGCAGUCCGUAGCGUGGGGACCCUGCAGUGCUCUCCAAGACAGCCCUCAGCGGCACCAGCACCCCCAGGGGCUCUGGAAGCCCCCCCCCCCCCCCCCGCCCGGGCCAGCCAGCAGGUCUCUGUGGCUUGAACUGUCCCUGCUUUGUGCGCCGGGAGCACUCUCCUGCAGCUCGGCCAGCCCCACCUACACGGUAACGCCCAGCGUCCCUGGGACCCUCAGACCCCCACUUACACACUUGCAGGCUGGCUCCGGGGCUGUCCUGUGGACAGCUAGUGCCGCUGGGACCCUCAGAAUUUCCUGCAGACCUCCUGGACCCCACUCUGCCCCUGGGUCUCGGGGGGGGGGGCGGUCUGGGGUCUUGCCUCUGUUAGAGCUCUUGUUGAGUGUAGACACGGGCUACACCUCACUUGCCAUGAGACCGGGGGUCUUCUUUAUUCACUCAACAAACGUUUUAGCACUUGCGUGAGCCGGGCACUCCUCCAGGCACUGGGAUCCCGCCGUGAACAGAUAGAAAAAAGCCCCUCCUCUCGGAGCCUACAGCCUAGUGGAAGGAGCAACAGACAAUGAAUAAAAUGAGGCCCUUGCGUUUUGUUUAACGGUGCUGAGUUUGGGGGGCGGGGAGGGGCUAAGGUUUAAAGAACCUGGUCGGGGAGGAAAGCGCCAGAAUUGUCUAAUUACGUUUUCUCUUUCUGCGGUGUUUUUGUGAACUUUGGAUCAGGAAUACAAGGAAUUUAAUCCAGGUCCUGAGGCACUUCGUAAAUAUCUUUCCAAAAUUCAGCUAGAUCAGCUGUGCUCAUCACUGCAGAGGGCUGGAAAAACACUUCGUGCAGUCCAGAGAGCUACUUUCGCCCCCGGCAUCAGGCUCGUGGGGUGGGAGGCCAGGACACCGCCCCACAUGUCCCACUGAUGCCCGUACUUCUGUGAGGUCAGCCUGCCGCAUUGUUCUUUGGGUCAGCUGCGUUUACAUAGAAGGGCGGUAAUGGGAAUUCCUCAUCCUGAGCAAAACCUUUGACAGUGAGAAAUGCUGGUGUGUGAUAGGGAUUCUGUGUUUCUGGGAGCUGUAACCAGCCCUCCACCAACUGUAGAUGAGAUGGACGGAGUUUCAGGUUCAGGUGACACUACAUUGCCAGAGGGUUGGAAAUGCACAGGGUCAGAGUUGAUAGGUUCCACGGUGACCUCACAUGGACUCGCCUGGAACAUUCCAAACCUGCGCGGCUUCCAUAUAUUAGAAAGCAAGAAUCGUGCAGUAAUUCCUUUUCAUUUUUGGAUGUUGAAAAGUCUGCAGGGUUGACGGGCCCAUUUUCGCCAGCAAAGGCGUUGACCCUGGCUUGUGCAGCGUGGUUGGUCCAGUCACGGUCGGCUCCACUCUCCCAGUUUUUGGGGGUCUGUCUGGUGCUCUCCAGUGAGCGCCUCCUGCCUUCGCAGUGCACCGCACAGCUUGGUUGAACACGGGGCAAAUGAAGGGUUAACACUGAUUCCAUGCAGGGCUCCCUACGAGGUCUCCACUGCCAAGAACGGAUGAGCGUGCACAGAGACAGAUCGUGACGGACGUAAGAGGAAGGUUCUCGGACCUUGGGCCUCAGACUGAAGGACCCCACAGGCUUUCCUCGCCCUCCAGCCUGCAGAUGGCAGAGGCCUUGUGAGCCGAGUCCUGGAAUAAAGCUCUCCUCUAUGUCUGCAUCAAUCCUAGUUUAGAGUUUACAGGAAAUUUGCAAGAACGGUACAAAAUGCGUCUCCCGUCACCCACACACCGUCAGCGUGCUUUCUACAACGAAGGACAUUCUCUUACGAGCUCACAGCGCCUCCAUCUGGAUGAGGAAAUUGGCCUGACUCUCCACUGCCACCCAGUCCGUAGACUUGCUCCAUCUCCACCAACUGUUCCCACAUCACCUGUAGAGAAAAGCAUCUACCCAGGACCCCUCCUUGCAUUUAGUGGCCAUGCCCCCUCGUGGCCUUCCAUCCAGAAUGUUCCUCGGGACUUGUGUGACCUUCCUGUCCUCGGCACAUGGGCGGACUAUUUGGUGGGCUUCCUCUGAGGUUUCCUCAGGGCAUGUUCUUUUGUCGAGUCUGCUGGAGAAGUGGGCCUGGGUCCCCCACAUCCUGCCGGGGGCACCUGAUUCCCACGCAUCCCAGCCAGCUGCUGACAGUGUCUUUACCGUUGCACGUCGCCUUUCUUCCUCAUCGUUAGUGACUGUUCUGUGUGUGGACGGACUUUGCAGUGACCUAAAUAUCCCAUUCCUCACGGCACACUUUCAAUCUAUUAAUUUAGUAACUUAAGUCAGUGUGGACCCGGGCUUCCUGUUUCAUGCUGUGAGUUAUAACCCAUUACUUUCAUCAUUUGGUGCUCAAACAGUCCCCGGUUUGGCCCGUGGGAGCCCUUCCGGCUGGCCUCUGCAUCUGCUCACGUGGCCCUGUCGCUGCCUGAGCAUUUCCUUACUUUCUGGCACAGAAAAAUGCCUCUCCGCACUUAACAUCUACAUGUGUUCCCAUAUUGGUCCAUAUAUGUUGCAAAUGCUGGGUUCACACAGAUGCUUUUGGUUCCACUCGAACGCGGCGAAGAUCAUUGCUCGGCCCGCGUCCGCGUCUGUGACUUACUCCAGCGUCGGCCAACUUGACUGUUGAUCCGUCCGUCCCCGGCCGCGCCCCGCGCAUGCGCUCCGACACCGGCGCUCUUGUCCUCCGUCCUCACGGGGCCUCGUCACACUGGGGCCCCAGCGUCCCAGAGGGAGUCUUACCCCUUGUAAAGCUAGUCAUGGCGUUUGCGUGUUUAUGAUCUAUAAAGUGCGCCUGUGCACACGUGUGCACGGAAAUUCUUCCGGAAGAUGUAAAACCGAAGCCGUGAGUCCAGAGAGAAUGGUGUAGGCUUAGUAGUGAAAGUGUUCUGACAGCUAACACUCAAAAAUCUAUAUCCCAAUUAUCUGCUGUGCGAACCUACCCCGAGGGCUGGUAAGGGUCUCAGCUGGGGGUGAAGGUGGGGGGUGGCCUGGAUUCUCCCCACCUUGCAGGGCUCCAGUGGGCGGGCCUCUAAGGUGGAGUCGGGGGGCACUUCUGGUUCCCUUUAUGCUGGAUUUUUGUGAUGCUGCGAUAACACUCUUCUAAAAUAAUUUGUUUUGCC